ACAUUGAGGCCCUGGAGUGUGUUCAGAGAAGGGCAGUGGAAGGGUCUGGAGCACAAGUGUUAUGAGGAGCGGCUGAGGGAACUGGGAUUGUUCAGUCUGGAGGAGGCUCAGCAGAGAUCUUAUGGCUCUGUACAACUCUCUGAAAGGAGGUUGUGGUGAGGCAGAGGUCAGCCUCUUCUCCCAAAUAUCAGCAAUCAGAUGAGAGGGAAUGGCCUUAAGUUGUGCAAGGGGAGGUUCAGGUUGGAUAUUAGGAAGAAUUUCUUCUCUGAGAGAGUGGUGAGGCACUGGCACAGACUGCCAGGUAGGUGGUGGAGUCACCGUCUGUAAGAGAUUAUUCUUUUAUAUCAUUUGACUCAAAGUUUGCUGAGGAACAAGUCCAGGCAAGUCCUGGGCAAAGGCAGAGAAAUCUUUUGUCCUUUGAUGGACAGGUCCUGGCUAAGGAUUGUGAAAUCCUCUAAGGAGCACAGAUGGACAAGGCCAGGGGCAACGAGAGAGAAGAUAAGCUGCUGCUAAUGGCUGGGAAACGGUCUUUUGUGUGGACUUAUCUUGAGGAAGAUGGCCAUCUCAGGAGGUAUGCCCAGGACUCUUGCUCAAGCACCCAGGAAUGUCAUGUAGGCAGGAGAAAAUGGAGGAUAAAAGAGGGUCCAACAACCACGGCGAGGUAGAGGCUUAUCUCUCACCACGACAGACUUGAGGGACCGUCGGAACAUCGUGUAACGGGACUGCUGCUGGAUCCUGGUGGUGACUAUCCCUGCUUUACGCAAUUCUUGCCUCUUUCUAUCUUUUCUAUCGCUCGCCUUCCCUUCCCCAUCACCCCAAUCCUUAAUAGUGUCCGUCCUCCCCUUUCCCCAUCUCCCUUAUUAACAUUUGUAAUAAACUGGUCGGACCAACAUUUGAACCGUUGUUUCUUAAUCUCACGCUGGGCAUACAUAUUUCAAAGAACCUCCUCUCCCUCCUAUAAAUUGGAGCGAGACACCGUCCCUCAUGUGGCACUGGUUAGUGGGCAUGAUAAGGAUGGUUUGACAGUUGGACUUGGUGAUUUUCGUGGUCUCUUCCAACCGUAAUGUUUUUAUGAUUCUAUGAAACCGAAACAGUAUUUAACACUGUACUUAAGAGAUCACAAAUCUGGAUCCCCUGUGUAAUAAAAUUAGUCCAUGUGAGAUGUGUUAUUCUUAAAACACAUCUUGUUGCCACAAACUUCCGUUUUUUUGAAUAGGUAAAGUUUGUCUAGGCAUUAAAACUUCUGCCUUGUGAUAUUUGCAAUAAAUUAACAGUAACUAGGGCAUUAUUGGCCUCUCUCUUAAAUGCAUACAGAAUCGAGAGGUUACAGCUGAUUUAUGAACUGUGCCUUUUAUGGAGAGUUAUUUCUUUUGGCUAUAUUCAAUAGAAUAUACUGUUUAAUAGGCUCAGUUGUAGUUCUGAAAGAUGGAAAACUACUGAGAACAUUAUUUUUAGAUCACAAUAAAAUAACUUGUGAUUACACUGACGGGAUUAG
rnacentral:lncRNA from 1 species